UGCCCUGUCGUCUAACGGCAAGACUAGGGACUUUGAAUCCCUCAAUCAAGGUUCGAAUCCUUGCAGGGCAUCCA
rnacentral:tRNA from 1 species